rnacentral:rRNA from 1 species
AUAAGCGAGAAAAGAAACUAACAAGGAUUCCCCUAGUAACUGCGAGUGAAGCGGGAAAAGCUCAAAUUUAAAAUCUGUCAGUCUUUGGCUGUCCGAGUUGUAAUCUAGAGAAGUGUUAUCUGCGCUGGACCGUGUACAAGUCUCCUGGAAUGGAGCGUCAUAGAGGGUGAGAAUCCCGUCUCUGACACGGACUGCCAGGGCUUUGUGAUGCGCUCUCAAAGAGUCGAGUUGUUUGGGAAUGCAGCUCAAAAUGGGUGGUAAAUUCCAUCUAAAGCUAAAUAUUGGCGAGAGACCGAUAGCGAACAAGUACCGUGAGGGAAAGAUGAAAAGAACUUUGGAAAGAGAGUUAAACAGUACGUGAAAUUGCUGAAAGGGAAACGCUUGAAGUCAGUCGCGUUGUCCAGGGAUCAACCUUGCUUUUGCUUGGUGUACUUUCUGGUUAACGGGUCAGCAUCAAUUUUGAUUAUUGGAAAAAAGUUAGGGGAAUGUGGCAUCUUUGGAUGUGUUAUAGCCCUUGAUUGUAUACAAUGGUUGGGAUUGAGGAACUCAGCACGCCGCAAGGCCGGGUGUUUCACCACGUACGUGCUUAGGAUGCUGGCAUAAUGGCUUUAAUCGACCCGUCUUGAAACACGGACCAAGGAGUCUAACAUGCCUGCGAGUGUUUGGGUGGAAAACCCGAGCGCGUAAUGAAAGUGAAAGUUGAGAUCCCUGUCGUGGGGAGCAUCGACGCCCGGACCAGACCUUUUGUGACGGUUCCGCGGUAGAGCAUGUAUGUUGGGACCCGAAAGAUGGUGAACUAUGCCUGAAUAGGGUGAAGCCAGAGGAAACUCUGGUGGAGGCUCGUAGCGAUUCUGACGUGCAAAUCGAUCGUCAAAUUUGGGUAUAGGGGCGAAAGACUAAUCGA